rnacentral:rRNA from 1 species
CGCCUACGGGGGGCAGCAGUGGGGAAUAUUGCACAAUGGGGGAAACCCUGAUGCAGCGACGCCGCGUGAGCGAAGAAGUAUUUGGGUAUGUAAAGCUCUAUCAGCAGGGAAGAAAGAAAUGACGGUACCUGAGUAAGAAGCCCCGGCUAACUACGUGCCAGCAGCCGCGGUAAUACGUAGGGGGCAAGCGUUAUCCGGAAUUACUGGGUGUAAAGGGAGCGUAGACGGUAAUGCAAGUCUGGAGUGAAAGGCGGGGGCCCACCCCCCGGACUGCUCU